CAUUAAACAUCAUCGGGGAGUUGGAUCCAGCUGGCAGGGCUUCGGCCCCGCCUUCUGGCCCUUCUCUUACUGAUUAUACCCAUGUCUUUUGCGUACUAUUUGUUUCCUUGGUGGGCUUGCCUGCCGAUAGGACAUCAUUAAACCUUUUGUAAUUGCAGUCAGCGUCAGAAAAACAUAAUAAUUACAACUUUCAACAACGGAUCUCUUGGUUCUGGCAUCGAUGAAGAACGCAGCGAAAUGCGAUAAGUAGUGUGAAUUGCAGAAUUCAGUGAAUCAUCGAAUCUUUGAACGCACAUUGCGCCCCUUGGUAUUCCAUGGGGCAUGCCUGUUCGAGCGUCAUUUGUACCCUCAAGCUCUGCUUGGUGUUGGGUGUUUGUCCCGCUUUUCGCGUGGACUCGCCUUAAAACAAUUGGCAGCCGGCAUAUUGGCCUGGAGCGCAGCACAUUUUGCGCCUCUUGUCAUGAUUGUUGGCAUCCAUCAAGACUAUUUUUUACUCUUGACCUCGGAUCAGGUAGGGAUACCCGCUGAACUUAAGCAUAU
rnacentral:rRNA from 1 species